UAGCAAGCCCAAAAUCAGAAAUCUGCUAAAAAUAAGAAUAUGAAGUUCAGCUAUAAAUUCUCAUUAUAUUAGCUUAAGAAUUAUUUAUUAAUUGUAUUUUUGAAGAAAGCUUCCUAGUCAUAUGGGAGCAAUCUUUGAUAAGUUCAGUUGAAAGUACAAAAAGCUUCAAGGUCACUUACCUUGGCAUCAAAAUUAGCAUUUAG
rnacentral:misc_RNA from 1 species